CCUACGGGAGGCAGCAGUGGGGAAUUUUGGACAAUGGGCGCAAGCCUGAUCCAGCCAUGCCGCGUGUGGGAAGAAGGCCUUCGGGUUGUAAACCACUUUUGUCAGGGAAGAAACGGUCUGAACUAAUACUUUGGACUAAUGACGGUACCUGAAGAAUAAGCACCGGCUAACUACGUGCCAGCAGCCGCGGUAAUACGUAGGGUGCAAGCGUUAAUCGGAAUUACUGGGCGUAAAGCGUGCGCAGGCGGCUUUGCAAGACAGAUGUGAAAUCCCCGGGCUCAACCUGGGAACUGCAUUUGUGACUGCAUGGCUAGAGUACGGUAGAGGGGGGAUGGAAUUCCGCGUGUAGCAGUGAAAUGCGUAGAUAUGCGGAGGAACACCGAUGGCGAAGGCAAUCCCCUGGACCUGUACUGACGCUCAUGCACGAAAGCGUGGGGAGCAAACAGGAUUAGAUACCCUGGUAGUCCACGCCCUAAACGAUGUCAACUGGUUGUUGGGAGGGUUUCUUCUCAGUACGAAGCUAACGCGUGAAGUUGACCGCCUGGGGAGUACGGCCGCAAGGUUGAAACGUCGAAAGGAAUUGGACGG
rnacentral:rRNA from 1 species